rnacentral:rRNA from 1 species
GUGCAGCAGGCGAGAAAACUUCACAAUGGGAGCAAUCCCGAUGAGGGAAUUCCGAGUGCCAACACACUGUGUUGGCUGUUCUCCUGUCUAAAAAGCAGGAGAAGUAAGGGCCGGGUAAGACGGGUGCCAGCCGCCGCGGUAAUACCGGCCGCCCGAGUGGUGACCACUAUUAUUGGGCCUAAAGCGUCCGUAGCCGGUUUUGUAAGUUUCUGGGUAAAUCCCACAGCUUAACUGCGGGAAUUCCAGAAAUACUGCAGAGCUAGGGGCCGGGAGACGCAGAAGGUACUCCUGGGGUAGGGGUGAAAUCCUAUAAUCCUAGGGGGACCACCAGUGGCGAAGGCGUUCUGCGAGAACGGGCUCGACGGUGAGGGACGAAAGCCAGGGGCGCAAACCGGAUUAGAUACCCCGGUAGUCC